UACGUAGGGAGCAAGCGUUGUUCGGAUUUACUGGGCGUAAAGGGCGCGUAGGCGGCAAAUUAAGUCAGCUGUGAAAUCUCCGAGCUUAACUCGGAACGGUCAGCUGAUACUGAUCUGCUAGAGUGCGGAAGGGGCAAUCGGAAUUCUUGGUGUAGCGGUGAAAUGCGUAGAUAUCAAGAGGAACACCUGAGGUGAAGACGGGUUGCUGGGCCGACACUGACGCUGAGUGCGCGAAAGCCAUGGGAGCAAACGGG
rnacentral:rRNA from 1 species